GAUGAACGCUGGCGGCGUGCCUAAUACAUGCAAGUCGAACGCGCAGCGAGAGGUGCUUGCACCUUUCAAGCGAGUGGCGAACGGGUGAGUAACACGUGGAUAACCUGCCUCAAGGCUGGGGAUAACAUUUGGAAACAGAUGCUAAUACCGAAUAAAACUUAGUAUCGCAUGAUAUCAAGUUAAAAGGCGCUACGGCGUCACCUAGAGAUGGAUCCGCGGUGCAUUAGUUAGUUGGUGGGGUAAAGGCUUACCAAGACGAUGAUGCAUAGCCGAGUUGAGAGACUGAUCGGCCACAUUGGGACUGAGACACGGCCCAAACUCCUACGGGAGGCUGCAGUAGGGAAUCUUCCACAAUGGGCGCAAGCCUGAUGGAGCAACGCCGCGUGUGUGAUGAAGGCUUUCGGGUCGUAAAGCACUGUUGUAUGGGAAGAAAUGCUAAAAUAGGGAAUAAUUUUAGUUUGACGGUACCAUACCAGAAAGGGACGGCUAACUACGUGCCAGCAGCCGCCGUAA
rnacentral:rRNA from 1 species